CCCCCUCCUUAAUGGC
rnacentral:tRNA from 1 species